GACGAGGGAUCCUAGCGUUGUUCGGAAUCAUUGGGCGUAAAGCGUAUGUAGGCGGCCUUGUAAGUCAGGUGUGAAAGCCCCGGGCUCAACCCGGGAAGUGCAUCUGAUACUGCAUGGCUUGAGUACUGGAGAGGAUAGUGGAAUUCCAGGUGUAGUGGUGAAAUACGUAGAUAUCUGGAGGAACACUGGUGGCGAAGGCGGCUAUCUGGCCAUGUACUGACGCUGAGAUACGAAAGCGUGGGGAGCAAACAGG
rnacentral:rRNA from 1 species